rnacentral:rRNA from 1 species
AUGUAAGUUUUUGCGUGAAUUUUUAUUUAUUUUAAUAAUAUAUAAUUUUUUAAAAAUCUCAGUAAUUAAUUUUAUAAAUCAAGGAAACUUGGAAUUAGUAAUUUCAUUAAGUAUUGGUUAAAUUUGUGCCAGCAGCCGCGGUUAUACAAAUAAUACAAAUAAAAUUUUAUUAGUGUAAGUUAAAUUUUUAUUUUAUAAAAUAUAUUUAAAUUUAUUAGGUGGAAUUUUAAAUUUAUAAAAUUUUAUUUAAAAGAUACUGAAACUUGAAAAUUUUAUUAAUAAACUAGGAUUAGAUACCCUAUUAUUUAAAAUGUAAUUAUAAACACUAAAGUAGUAGUAGUUAUGUUCUUGAAACUUAAAAAAUUUGGCGGUAUCUUAGUCUAUUCAGAGGAACCUGUCCUGUAAUCGAUAAUCCACGAGGUACCUUACUUAAAAUUGUUUUCAGUUUAUAUACCGUCGUUAUUAGAAUAUUUUAUUAGAAUAAUAAUUUUCUUUAAUUUUUAUUAAAAUUUAUAUCAGAUCAAGGUGUAGCUUAUAUUUAAGUAGAGAUGGGUUACAAUAAACUUUUUUAAAUGAAUUUUAAUUUGAAAAGUUUAAUGAAAGUGGAUUUGAUAGUAAAAUUUUAAAGAUUAAAAAUUUGAUUUUAGCUCUAAAAUAUGCACAUAUCGCCCGACGCUCUUAUUGUUAAGGUAAGAUAAGUCGUAACAUAGUAGAUGUA